UACGUAGGGACCAAGCGUUGUUCGGAUUUACUGGGCGUAAAGGGCGCGUAGGCGGCAUGACAAGUCACUUGUGAAAUCUCUGGGCUUAACUCAGAACGGCCAAGUGAUACUGUCGCGCUAGAGUGCGGAAGGGGCAAUCGGAAUUCUUGGUGUAGCGGUGAAAUGCGUAGAUAUCUGGAGGAAUACCGGUGGCGAAGGCGGCAUCCUGGACCGACAUUGACGCUGAUGAGCGAAUGCUAGGGGAGCAAACGGG
rnacentral:rRNA from 1 species